rnacentral:rRNA from 1 species
AUUGAACGCUGGCGCCCGGCCUAACACCUGCAAGUCGAACGAGUGGCGGACUGGUGAGUAAUGUCUGGGAAACUGUCUGAUGGAUGGGGAUAACUACUGGAACCGGUAUCUAAUACCUCAUACCUUCAGAUGUGCCCAGAGGGGAUGAGCUGUUUGGGGGUGUAACGGCUCACCAAGGCGACGAUCCCUAGCUGGUCUGCGAGGAUGACCGGCCGCACUGGAACUGAGACACGGUCCAGAAUCCUACGGGAGGCAGCAAUGGGGAAUAUUGCACAAUGUGCACAAGCCUGAUGCAGCCAUGCCGCGUGUAUAAAGAAGGCCUUCGGGUUGUAGAGUACUUUCGGCGAGGAGGCGUUACCCGCAGAAGAGGCACCGGCUAGCUCCGUGCCAGCAGCCGCGGUAAUAC